UUCCGGUUGAUCCUGCCGGAGGCCACUGCUAUCGGGGUCCGACUAAGCCAUACGAGUCAAGGGGGUGUCCCUCUGGGACACCACCGGCGGACGGCUCAGUAACACGUCGGUAACCUACCCUCGGGAGGGGGAUAACCCCGGGAAACUGGGGCUAAUCCCCCAUAGGCCUGAGGUACUGGAAGGUCCUCAGGCCGAAAGGGGCUUUUGCCCGCCCGAGGAUGGGCCGGCGGCCGAUUAGGUAGUUGGUGGGGUAACGGCCCACCAAGCCGAAGAUCGGUACGGGCUGUGAGAGCAGGAGCCCGGAGAUGGACACUGAGACACGGGUCCAGGCCCUACGGGGCGCAGCAGGCGCGAAACCUCCGCAAUGCGGGAAACCGCGACGGGGGGACCCCGAGUGCCGUGGCACCGCCACGGCUUUUCCGGAGUGUAAAAAGCUCCGGGAAUAAGGGCUGGGCAAGGCCGGUGGCAGCCGCCGCGGUAAUACCGGCGGCCCGAGUGGUGGCCGCUAUUAUUGGGCCUAAAGCGUCCGUAGCCGGGCCCGUAAGUCCCUGGCGAAAUCCCACGGCUCAACCGUGGGGCUUGCUGGGGAUACUGCGGGCCUUGGGACCGGGAGAGGCGGGGGGUACCCCUGGGGUAGGGGUGAAAUCCUAUAAUCCCAGGGGGACCGCCAGUGGCGAAGGCGCCCCGCUGGAACGGGUCCGACGGUGAGGGACGAAGGCCAGGGGAGCAAACCCGAUUACAUACCCGGGUAGUCCUGG
rnacentral:rRNA from 1 species